rfam:Oikopleura dioica, whole genome shotgun assembly, reference scaffold set, scaffold scaffold_43
AAAUCGGCCCUUUUUAGGGCCACAAAUUUUUUUGAAAAAAAAAAG